rnacentral:tRNA from 1 species
UCCCUGAUAGCUCAGUCGGUAAAGAAUCUGUCUGCAAUGCAGGAGACGCAGGUUCGAUUCCUGGGUGAGGAA